UACGUAGGGGGCUAGCGUUGUCCGGAAUCAUUGGGCGUAAAGAGCGUGUAGGCGGUCCGGUAAGUCCGUUGUGAAAGUCAGGGGCUCAACCCUUGAAUGCCGGCGGAUACUGUCGGGCUAGAGUCCGGAAGAGGCGAGUGGAAUUCCCGGUGUAGCGGUGAAAUGCGCAGAUAUCGGGAGGAACACCUAUGGCGAAGGCAGCUCGCUGGGACGGUACUGACGCUGGAGACGCGAAAGCGUGGGGAGCAAACAGG
rnacentral:rRNA from 1 species